CUACGGGUGGCUGCAGUGGGGAAUAUUGCACAAUGAGCGAAAGCCUGAUGCGGCAACGCCGCGUGGAGGAUGACACAUUUCGGUGCGUAAACUCCUUUUAUAUAAGAAGAUAAUGACGGUAUUAUAUGAAUAAGCACCGGCUAACUCCGUGCCAGCAGCCGCGGUAAUACGGGGGGUGCAAGCGUUACUCGGAAUCACUGGGCGUAAAGAGCAUGUAGGCUGGAUGACAAGUUGGAAGUGAAAUCCUAUGGCUUAACCAUAGAACUGCUUCCAAAACUGUCUUCCUAGAGUAUGGGAGAGGUAGAUGGAAUUUCUGGUGUAGGGGUAAAAUCCGUAGAGAUCAGAAGGAAUACCGAUUGCGAAGGCGAUCUACUGGAACAUUACUGACGCUCAGAUGCGAAAGCGUGGGGAGCAAACAGGAUUAGAUACCCCCGUAGUC
rnacentral:rRNA from 1 species